rnacentral:rRNA from 1 species
UACGUAGGGGGCAAGCGUUGUCCGGAUUUAUUGGGCGUAAAGAGCUCGUAGGCGGUGUGUCGCGUCGGCCGUGAAAACCUGGGGCUCAACUCUGGGCGUGCGGUCGAUACGGGCAUCACUUGAGUUCGGAAGGGGAGACUGGAAUUCCUGGUGUAGCGGUGAAAUGCGCAGAUAUCAGGAGGAACACCGGUGGCGAAGGCGGCUCUCUGGGCCGAUACUGACGCUGAGGAGCGAAAGCAUGGGUAGCGAACAGG